AUGAACGCUGGCGGCGUGCUUAACACAUGCAAGUCGAACGAAGCAUUUGCGACAGAUUUUUUCGGAAUGAAGUUGCUUAUGACUGAGUGGCGGACGGGUGAGUAACGCGUGGGUAACCUGCCUUGUACUGGGGGAUAGCAGCUGGAAACGGCUGGUAAUACCGCAUAAGCGCACAAUGUUGCAUGACAUGGUGUGAAAAACUCCGGUGGUAUAAGGUGGACCCGCGUCUGAUUAGCUAGUUGGUGAGAUAACAGCCCACCAAGGCGACGAUCAGUAGCCGACCUGAGAGGGUGACCGGCCACAUUGGGACUGAGACACGGCCCAGACUCCUACGGGAGGCAGCAGUGGGGAAUAUUGCACAAUGGAGGAAACUCUGAUGCAGCGACGCCGCGUGAGUGAAGAAGUAAUUCGUUAUGUAAAGCUCUAUCAGCAGGGAAGAUAGUGACGGUACCUGACUAAGAAGCUCCGGCUAAAUACGUG
rnacentral:rRNA from 1 species